UGGGUUAAGAGUUUGCUUGGUAAACUGAGAAGACUUCUUUUCUGGGAAGUGGUCGCAGAAUGAAGAGUUGGAUGCUGAGGACUGGAGGGAGGUUACAUGCACUGGUGACUUGAAGCUUUAAUACUAGAUGACGUUUUUGGAAGCCAGCAUGUGAUAUUCGACAAUAAGUGUAUAGAAGCCUGCUUGGUUUUCAGAUGAAGAAGG
rnacentral:lncRNA from 1 species